GGGGGUUCUUGGGUGACCCACCCCAGAAUCAGGCUUCCUCCUCUCUGGUUCCAGGUGCAUCACCCAAGAACUGCA
rfam:Myotis davidii contig305799, whole genome shotgun sequence.